rnacentral:rRNA from 1 species
AUGCUGUCAACUACAGAAUUUAUUCAGGUUGCGGUUACUCUUUGGGCACUCUGGUUCUCUAGGAGACAUGCAUUGCAUGAGGAUAUAUUCCAAAGUCCUCUAUCUACGCACCACUUCAUUCGAAGGUAUAUCAGGGAACUGGAAGAGUGCAAGCCAAAGAUUUCUUCUGUACCGGCUGGACAAAACCAACAUCAAGCACCUCCGAGAUGGAUCCCACCUCCGCUUGGUUCGGUAAAGAUAAGAGUUGAUGGUGCAGUUUCAAGAAACCAAACUGAAGGUUCUUUCAGUGCAGUGUGCAGGGAUGCCUCGGGGCCUUUCUUGGGUUCUUCAGCUAUUAGAGUACGGGACAUCACUGAUCCAGCAACUUUGGAAGCCUUAGCAUGUCGAUAAGCGCUUGCCCCGGCUACGGACUUAGCAUUAUCACAUGUGAUCGUCGCCUCAUAUUGCCAAGGAGUGGUCAAGGAUAUCCACAAACAGGAGGGAGGGAUGUAUGCAAGUAUUGUGAAGGAAAUCGUCGAGACAGCAAGAACUAUCGAUGACUGCACCUUCAUCUUUGAGGGUAGAGUUACAAAUUUUGAGGCACAUAGCAUCGCUAAACACGCUUUCGAUCUGAAUUUUGGGCGCCAUGUGUGGCUUUUAAACCCCCCAGACCAAGGUUUUUGA